rnacentral:rRNA from 1 species
UGCCAGCCGCCGCGGUAAUACGGAGGGGGCUAGCGUUGUUCGGAAUUAUUGGGCGUAAAGCGCACGUAGGUGGCUUGGUAAGUCGGAUGUGAAAGCCCUGGGCUCAACCUGGGAAUUGCAUUCGAUACUGCUUAGCUAGAGUAUGAGAGAGGGUAGUGGAAUUCCGGGUGUAGCGGUGAAAUGCGUAGAUAUCCGGAGGAACAUCAGUGGCGAAGGCGACUUCCUGGGCCAUUACUGACGCUGAGGUGCGAAAGCGUGGGGAGCAAACAGGAUUAGAUA